rnacentral:rRNA from 1 species
UACGAGGGGGGCAAAUGUUGUUCGGAAUCACUGGGCGUAAAGGGUGCGUAGGUGGGCAAGUAAGUCAGUGGUGAAAUCUCCGGGCUUAACCCGGAAACUGCCAUUGAUACUAUUUGUCUUGAAUACUGUGGAGGUCAGCGGAAUAUGUCAUGUAGCGGUGAAAUGCUUAGAUAUGACAUAGAACACCAAUUGCGAAGGCAGCUGGCUACACAAAUAUUGACACUGAGGCACGAAAGCGUGGGGAUCAAACAGG